rnacentral:rRNA from 1 species
UAUUGCACAAUGGGGGAAACCCUGAUGCAGCAACGCCGCGUGAGCGAUGAAGGCCUUCGGGUCGUAAAGCUCUGUCCUAAGGGAAGAUAAUGACGGUACCUUAGGAGGAAGCCCCGGCUAACUACGUGCCAGCAGCCGCGGUAAUACGUAGGGGGCAAGCGUUAUCCGGAAUCAUUGGGCGUAAAGGGUGCGUAGGCUGCCCUAUAGGUCAGAGGUCAAAGGCUACGGCUCAACCGUAGUAAGCCUUUGAAACUGUAGGGCUUGAGUGCAGGAGAGGAGAGUGGAAUUCCUAGUGUAGCGGUGAAAUGCGUAGAUAUUAGGAGGAACACCAGUGGCGAAGGCGACUCUCUGGACUGCAACUGACGCUGAGGCACGAAAGCGUGGGUAGCGAACAG